rnacentral:rRNA from 1 species
UACGUAGGGUGCAAGCGUUAAUCGGAAUUACUGGGCGUAAAGCGUGCGCAGGCGGUUUUGUAAGUCUGUCGUGAAAUCCCCCGGGCUCAACCUGGGAAUUGCGAUGGAGACUGCAAGGCUAGAAUCUGGCAGAGGGGGGUAGAAUUCCACGUGUAGCAGUGAAAUGCGUAGAGAUGUGGAGGAACACCGAUGGCGAAGGCAGCCCCCUGGGUCAAGAUUGACGCUCAUUGCACGAAAGCGUGGGGAGCAAACAGG